rnacentral:tRNA from 1 species
GGCCCCAUCGUCUAGUGGUUAGGACACCAGGUUUUCAUCCUGGUAACAGGGGUUCGAUUCCCCUUGGGGCUA